CACGGCGUAAUAACGCCAGAUGCGCUGUUACUGUUGUCACUGUCGCCGCUGUUAUUACCGGCGGUGGUUGCUGUCGCCGGUGAUGAGGGACGAAGAGCGGAGCGCAAGAAAAGAAAAACAAAAAGAGAAAAGAGAAAGAACGAACGAAAGAAAGCGACGGGGGGGGGGGGGGGUUGGUGGGCGACACGUCCGUCCUCGAACUCUCGGCGUCGCGCAGCGAAAGUAGAACGGACGCGGGAUGGUGGUGUGUGUGUUGGGGGGGGGGGGGGGGUCUUACCGGGUCUUCUCUCCUUCUUCGCCGCCGCCGGUAUUCCGCGUCCCUUCUCUUGUCGCGUUAAAGGGCCACAGGUUCCGCUCGCGCGCGCGCGCGCGCGCCCGCGCCGAGAAAACGCGUCGCGUCACGUCCACGCCACCGAACACCCGGGCCGAGCGACAACGGGACGACAGAAGGAGAGAGGGGGGGGAAGAUGUCGUCUGGCGUGGACGCGAAGCCGGACAGUUCCUACGUCGAAGCCGGGGGGCACAUUUAAUCCAAAUUGCGGACCUUUAAUUACACUUUGCGACGUCCCCGCGACAGCACGCGCCUGGCACAACUUCCGCCGCCAAACAAUGGCUGGGGGUCCGCGGAUCAAACACGGCGGCUGUUCAGCUUUCUUUAUUCCAUAGAAAGCACCUUAACUUGCCUGCUGUCCCGCUCUUAUCGGGUUCCACUGAAGCCGUGCAGGGAUAUCCGCCCACACGAUUGAUCCUUCUAUUUUAGCCUUGUUGCUCCGAGUGGGGAACACAUCCGGCAAGAGGCCCUCCACGCAAUGGAGACCACGGUUUGGCCAGCCCCGCCACUUAGCUUGUGCAAUCUUUUGUCAUUAGCCCUCCCUGCCUUCUGACAGUCCCAGCAGCUGGGGAUGAGCGGCAGAUUUAGUUCGGAGGCGCAAUAUUUUGCCCGCUCCACGUUCAUGCUCAGAUUUCAUUGCACAGCCGUGUGCGUGUUUUGUGUGUGUGCAAAAGUGUAUGGAACACACAGCCAUGCCUGUCUGAGGAACCUUUUUUUUUCAACAGGAAGACAGACUGAUUGAGUAGCAGCGGUCCAGGACCCCACUUGUCUGUCUGGAACGGGGAACGAUAAUGUGAUAAUGCAACCAUAAGAUAAUGCAGCGCGACCCCAGGAAGCUGACGCCGCACAAGUCGGUAAUCAGAUGCCUGCGUGAUUACUGGUGUACCCUGCCACCCCUGCAAGGGCUGCACGUCAUUCACUGCAUUCAAGCUCCCAGGUGACUUCGGGGGGGGGGCGAAAAGGGAGCCGUCUUUUCAUCUUAAUUCGGUUCCAGUGCUGCGCAGGAGGAAGUAGCAGCACAGUGCAGCGCACGCAGGCACGCAAGGGCACGCGCUGCAUCGCCGCCAUCCCUGCAGCAUUAUCUUCUUUGUCCGCAUUCAGUUGCCUGCCACUGACAUGUGGGAGGGGACGAUGCAAAAUAACAUCAGAAACCUACCCUGCGCGAGGCAAGAGGAAUGAACACGUGUGAGGCAGUCGUGUUCUCGAAUUCUGCUUUCUUCUGUCUGUGGUGCUGGGAUUUGGCAACAAAGCCAACGCUCGGUUUGCAGUACGCCGACGGUGACUGCUGGAGCAUUUUAUUCAUCCAUAUCCUGUUUGUAAAGUCUGGUGCAGGAA
ensembl:lncRNA